rnacentral:rRNA from 1 species
AAAGAGUAAGAAACUUUAGUGUGUGUACCUUUUGUAUCAGGGGAAGUUAAAAGUGCAAAUAAUAAAGGAUCGAUUUAAGCAGAGCUUCGUAUAAAAUAGCUCUAGUUAAAUUUAUAGCUUUAAUAGAUUAUGUGGUGAAAAAUGUACGGUGCUUAUGGUAGCUAUUUGUUUUUUUAUUGAAGGGUAAGCUUUCAUUGACUUAAUUGUGUAAAAGGUAUAGGGAAUUAGGCUUGGUAUUUUGACUGUGCUAAGGUAGCAUAAUCAUUUGCUACUUAAUUGGUAGCUGGAAUGAAAGGUUAAACUAGCUUACUCAGUUUGUUGUGUUUUGUAAGAAAUUAAAGUCGAGGUAAGAAUUCUUUGAUCUGCUAGGGGACGAUAAGACCCUAGAAGCUUAACAAUAAGAGUAUUUAUUAGUUAUAAAAAUUAAUUUGUUUUACUGGGGCGGUAGAGGUAUAUGAACUAUUAGCGUAUUGAUAGAUCCUUAAAAUAAAGAUAAAACGGGAAAGUUACUCUAGGGGUAACAGUGCAAUAUUUUUGGAGAGAUCAUAUCGAUAAAAAUGUUUGCAACCUCGAUGUUGAAUUAAGAUGUCUACGUGAAGCAGCAGGUACGUGAGAGGGUUUGUUCAAC